GCUGAGUGCCAAAGAAUUGAGGCCUUUGAACUCUGGUGCUGGAGAAGACUCCUGUGAGUCCCUUGGACUCCAAGGGGAUCAAACCAAUCAGUCCUAGACGGGAUCAACCCUGACUGCUCUUUAGAAGAAGGGUCUCCAACAUUGGCCACGUUAAGACUUGUGG